CCUACGGGUGGCAGCAGUGAGGAAUAUUGGUCAAUGGGCGGGAGCCUGAACCAGCCAAGCCGCGUGAGGGAAGAAGGUACAGCGUAUCGUAAACCUCUUUUGUCAGGGAACAAAGGCGGGGACUAGUCCCCGGAUGAGGGUACCUGAAGAAAAAGCAUCGGCUAACUCCGUGCCAGCAGCCGCGGUAAUACGGAGGAUGCGAGCGUUAUCCGGUUUUAUUGGGGUUAAAGGGUGCGCAGGCGGCCUGUUAAGUCAGCGGGAAAAGCCCGGGGCUCAACCCCGGCGAGCCGUUGAAACUGGCGGGCUGGAGUUGGAGAGAAGUACGCGGAAUGCGCGGUGUAGCGGUGAAAUGCUUAGAUAUCGCGCAGAACCCCGACUGCGAAGGCAGCGUACCGGCUCCACACUGACGCUGAGGCACGAAAGCGUGGGUAUCGAACAGGAUUAGAUACCCGGGUAGUC
rnacentral:rRNA from 1 species